rnacentral:rRNA from 1 species
CGAGGACGACGCUGGCGGCGCGCCUAACACAUGCAAGUCGAACGGAGCAUUGAAGCUUGCUUUGAUGCUUAGUGGCGAACGGGUGAGUAACACGUGAGCAAUCUGCCUUCGAUGGGGGACAACAGUUGGAAACGACUGCUAAUACCGCAUAAGACCACGCUUCCGCAUGGAAGAGCGGUCAAAGGAGCAAUCCGGUUUGAGAUGGGCUCGCGUCCGAUUAGCUAGUUGGCGGGAUAACAGCCCACCAAGGCGACGAUCGGUAGCCGACCUGAGAGGGUGAUCGGCCACAUUGGAACUGAGAUACGGUCCAGACUCCUACGGGAGGCAGCAGUGGGGAAUAUUGGGCAAUGGGCGAAAGCCUGACCCAGCAACGCCGCGUGAGGGAAGAAGGGUUUCGGCUCGUAAACCUCUGUCCUAUGGGACGAAGAAGUGACGGUACCAUAGGAGGAAGCCCCGGCUAACUACGUG